rnacentral:rRNA from 1 species
AACAGAGGUCUCAAGCGUUAUUCGGAAUUAUUGGGCGUAAAGGGCGCGUAGGCGGCCUGGCAAGUGGAAGGUGAAAUCCCUCGGCUUAACCGAGGAACUGCCCUCCAAACUGCUUGGCUUGAGUCCGGGAGAGGUGAGUGGAAUUCCCAGUGUAGCGGUGAAAUGCGUAGAUAUUGGGAGGAACACAAGUGGCGAAGGCGGCUCACUGGACCGGAACUGACGCUGAGGCGCGAAAGCGUGGGGAGCAAACGGG